rnacentral:rRNA from 1 species
CCUACGGGUGGCAGCAGUGGGGAAUCUUCCGCAAUGGGCGAAAGCCUGACGGAGCAACGCCGCGUGAUCGAAUGAAGGCCUUCGGGUGGUAAAGAUCUGUUGACAGGGACGAAUAAGCAAUGCAAAUAGUUUUGUGUAUGACGGUACCUGUUUAGAAAGCUCCGGCUAACUACGUUCCAGCAGCCGCGGUAAAACGUAGGGAGCAAGCGUUGUCCGGAAGUACUGGGCGUAAAGGGACCGCAGGUCGGCGCUUAAGUCCGGUGUGAAAACUCCGGGCUCAACCUGGAGACUGCAUUUGAAACUGGGUGUCUUGAGGGCAGGAGAGGAGAGUGGAAUUCCUAGUGUAGCGGUGAAAUGCGUAGAUAUUAGGAGGAACACCAGUGGCGAAGGCGACUUUCUGGACUGUACCUGACGCUGAGGCGCGAAAGCGUGGGUAGCGAACGGGAUUAGAUACCCUAGUAGUC